rnacentral:rRNA from 1 species
UACGGAGGGUGCAAGCGUUAAUCGGAAUUACUGGGCGUAAAGCGCACGCAGGUGGCUGAGUCAGUCGAUUGUGAAAGCCCUGGGCUUAACCUGGGAAUUGCAGUCGAUACUACUCAGCUAGAGUAUGGGAGAGGGCAGUGGAAUUCCCGGUGUAGCGGUGAAAUGCGUAGAUAUCGGGAGGAACAUCAGUGGCGAAGGCGGCUGCCUGGCCCAAUACUGACACUCAGGUGCGACGAGCGUGGGGAGCAAACAGG